AAGACAGAAGAGUUUUAUAGAAAACAAUGUAAAACAAGAAUAGACAAUACUCAAAUGCUGUUAGACAUCAAGAAAUACAAGUUAAGGUGCCAAGAUGGCCCACUAGAAGCAACUGCCAUCAGCAACUCCCACCAAGAAGAACAAAAGCGGUGAGUGAAUCCUGCACCUUCAGCUAAGGUAUCCAGGUUCUCUCAGUGGGACUGACUAGGCAGUUGGCUUAACCCACGGAGAGUGAGGAAAAGCAGGGUGGAGUGAUGGCACACCCAGGAGCCACAUGGGGCAAGCAGAGCUCCCACCCCCAGCCAAGGGAGGUGGUGAGUGAUUGUGCUACCCCACCCAGGAAACCAUGCUUUUCCCACGGAUAUCUGCAACCUGCGAAUCAGGAGGUACCCUAGUGAGCCCAUGCCGCCAGGGCCUUGGGUUCCAAGCUCAGAGCUGUGCAGCUGCUCGGCAGCCGCUUGGGUUGCAACCAGCAGCAGGAGGCUGGAGACUGCCUAAGACCUUCGAGUUCCUGGGGGGACAGGCAGCUGUCAUCACUGAAGCUCCAGUUGGUCGUUUUCCCCUGCUGGUGCCAGGGAGAUUGGGCGAUUUGAACUAAGAGGAAUUCCCCACAGAGCAGCACAGUGGCUGUAGCAGAUCAUGGCCAGACUGCUUAUUUGGAUCCAUUCUUUCUCACCAGGCAGCGCCUCCCUGCGGGAAUUUCAGCAACUUCAGCCUGGGGUUUAUGGACAGAACUCUGAUCUACCUCUGAUGGAGCCCCUGGGGGGAAGUGUCCGUGGUCUCCGUGGUUCAGUGGACUUUAGUCUCUGCUGCCUGCUGGCUCUGAAGAGGCCGGGAAGUCAGGAGGAGGUGGAUUUCCCCCAUCACAGUGCACCCGCUCCACCAAGGGGCAGCCAGAGUGCUGUGUUAAGUGAGUCUGUGAUCCUGUGCCUCCCGAUUAGGUGAGACCCCCAACUGGCGUCGCGAGACACUUCAUACAGGAGUGUUCCCACUGGCAUUAGGUCACUGCCCCUCUGGGAUGGAGUUCCCAGAGGAAGGAGGAGGGCCCCAGGAGAAUAGGGUCUCCAGCAGACCCCCAUAAAACUGCAGAAUCGCUAUGGAAGAGGGGCCUGGCUGUUGUUAAAAGAAAAAACAAACAAACAGAAAGCAACAACAACAUCAACAAAAAGAGACCCCCACAAAGACCCCAUCCAAAGAUCAGCAGCCUCAAAGAUUGAAGGUGGAUAAGCUCACAAAGAUGAGAAAGAACCAAUGCAAAAACGCUGAAAACCAAAAAAACCAGAAUGCCUCUUCUCCAAAUGAUCACAACACCUCUCCAACAAGAGCACAGAACUGGACUAAGGCUGAGAUAAAUGAAAUGGCAGAAGUAGGCUUUAGAAGUUGGGUAAUAACAAACUUUGCUUAGCUAAAGGAGUAUGUUCUAAACCAAUGCGAAGAAGUUGAGAACCAUGAUAAAACAUUACAGGAAUUGUUAACCAAAAUAACCAGUUUAGAGAGGAACAUACAUGACCUAAUGGAGCUGAAAAAUAUAACACAAGAACUUCAUAAUGCAAUAACAAGUAUCAAUAGCCAAAUAGACCAGGUGGAGGAAAAAAUUUCAGAGCUUGAAGAAUAUCUUGCUGGCAUAAGACAAACAGACAAGAAUAGAGAAAAAAAGAAAGAAUUAAAGGUUAAUACACAAAACCUCUGAGAACUAUGAAAUUAUGUAAAAAGACUGAACCUAUGACUGACUGGUGUACUUGAAAGACACAGAGAGAAUGGAACCAAAUUGGAAAACAUACUUCAGGUUAUCAUCCAGGAGAACUUCCCCAAACUAGCAAGACAGGCCAACAUUCAAAUUCAGGAAAUCCAGAGAAUCCCUGUAAGAUAUGCCAUGACAAGAUCAACCUCAAUACAGCUAAUUAUCAGAUUCUCAAAAGUCGGAAUGAAGGAAAAAAUGUUAAGGGCAGCCAGAGAAAAUGGCCAGUUCACCUACAAAGGGAAUCUCAUCAGAAUAACAGCAGGCUUCUCAGCAAAAACCCUGUAAGCCAGAAGAGAUUGGGUCCCAUAUUCAACAUUCUUAAAGAAAAGAAUUUCCAACCCAGAAUUUCAUAUUGGCCACACUAAGCUUCAUAAGUAAAGGAGAAAUAAGAUUCUUUUCAGACAAUCUAUUGGUGAGGGAAAUAAUCACCACCAGGCCUGCCUUACAAGAGCUGUUGAAGGAAGCGCUAAAUAUGGAAAGAAAAACCAUUACCAGCCACUAUAAAAACACACUGAAGUACACAGACCAAUGACACUAUGAAGCAACUACAUUAACAAGUCAAGUCUUAAAAAUAACCAGCUAGCAUCAUAAUGAUAGGAUGGGUCACAUUAAAAUAUAACAAUAUUAACCUCAAAUAUAAAUGGGCUAAAUGACCCAAAUAAAAGACACAGAAUGGUAAGCUGAAUAAAGAGUCAAGACCCAUUGUUGUGCUGUCUUCAUGAGACCCUUCUCAUGUGCAAAGACACACUUAGAUUCAAAAUAAAGGGAUGGAGGAAAAUCUAUCAAGCAAAUUGAAAGCAUAAAGAAGCAGGGGUUGCAAUCCUAGUUUCUCACAAAACAGACUCUAAAUGAACAAAGAUCAAAAAAGACAAAGACAGGCAAUAUAUAGUGGUAAAGGAUUCAAUUCAACAAGAAGAGCUAACUAAUCUAAAUAUACAUGGACCUAAUACAGGAGCAUCCAGAUUCAUAAAACAAGUUCUUAGAGACCUACAAAAAUACUUAGAUUCCUACACAAAUAAAGUUGGAGACUUUAACACCCUACUGUCAAUAUUAGACAUAUCAUCAAGACAGAAAAUUAAAAAAGAUAUUCAGGACUUGAACUCAGCUGUGGAUCAAGUGGACCUGACGGAUAUCUACAAAACUCUCCACCCAAAAACAACAGAAUAUACAUUCUUCUCAGCACCGUGAGACACUUAACUCUAACAUUUAUCAUAUAAUUUGAAGUAAAAUACUCUUCAGCAAAUGAAAAAGAACUGAAAUAAUACCAAGCAGUCUCUCAGACCGCAACACAAUCCAAUUAGAAUUCAAGAUUAAGAAACUCACUCAAAACCACACAACUACAUGGAAAUUGAACAACCUGCUCCUGAAUGACUCCUAGGUAAAUAAUGAAAUUAAGGCAGAAAUCAAGAAGUUCCUUGAGACUAAUGAGAACAUAGAGACAUUGUACCAGAAUCUGUAUGACGCAGCUAAAGCAGUGUUAAGAGAUACAUUUGUAGCACUAAAUGCCCACAGCAAAAAGUUAGAAAUAUCUCAGAUCAACAUCCUAACAUAAUUUCUCCCUAAUUCAUGUUAUGAGGCCAGCAUCAUGCUGACCCCAGAGCCUGAUACCAAACUAAAAGAAGUAGAGAAUCAAGAGCAAACAAACCCCAAAGCUAGCAGAAGACAAUAAAUAACCAAGAUCAGAGUGAAAAUGAAGGAGAUAAAACAUGAAAAAUCCUUCAAAAAAAUCAACAAAUCCAGGAGCUGAUUUUAUGAAAAAAAUAAUAAAAUAGAUACACUGCUAGCUAGAUUAAUAAAGAAGAAAAAAAAAGAAGAAAUUAGACACAAUAAAAAAAUGAUAAAGUGUAUAUCACCACUGACCCCACAGGAAUACAAACAACGAUCAGAGAAUACUAUAAACACUUCAAUGCACAUAAACUAGAAAAUCUAGAAGAAAUGAAUAAAUACCUGGACACAUACCCUCCCAAGUUUGAACCAGGAAGAAUUCGAAUCCCUGAAAAGACCAAUAAUGAGCUCUAAAAUUGAGGCAAUAAUAAAUAGCCUACCAAACAACAACAAAAAAACACAGGACCAAACAAAUUUACAGCUGAAUUCUACAAGAGGUACAAAUAGUAGCUGCUACUUUUUCUCCUGAAACUAUUCCAAACAAGAAAAGGAGUGACUUCUCUGUACCUCAUUAUGAGGCCAGGAUCAUCCUGAUACAAAAACCUGGAAGAGAUGCAACAGAAAAGGAAAACUUCAGGCCAAUAUUUCUGAUGAACAUUGAUGUAAAAAUCCUCAACAAGAUAUUGGCAGACUGAAUCCAAUAACACAUCAAAAGUUUAUCUACCAUCAUCAAGUCAGCUGCAUCCCCAGGAUGCAAGACUGGUUCAACAUACACAAAUCAAUAAACAUAAUUAAUCACAUAAACACAACUAAAGACAAAAACCACAUGAUUAUCUCAAUAUAUGCAGAAAAGGUCCUUAAUAAAAUUCAACAUCCCUUCAUAUUAAAAACUCUCAAUAAACUAGGUAUGGAAGGGACAUACUUCAGUAUAAUAAGAACCAUUUAUGACAAACCUACAGCCAAUAUCAUACUUAAUGGGAAAAAGCUGGAAACAUUCCCCUUGAAAGCCAUAACAACACAGGAAUGCCCUCUCCCACCACUCCUAUUCAACAUAGUAUUAGAAGUUCUGGCCAGGGCAAUCAGGUAAGAGAAAGAAAUAAAGCAUAUUCAAACAGAAAGAGAAAGUUAAAUUGUCUCUGUUUGCAGAUGACGUGAUCCAAUAUCUAGAAAAACCUAUCAUCUCAGCCCAAAGAUUCUUAACUGAUAAGCAACUUCAGCAAAGUUUCAGGAUACAAAAUAAAUGUGCAAAAAUCACAAUCAUUCCUAUACACCAACAACAGACAAGCAGAAAGCCAAAUCAUGAAUGAACUCCCAUUCACAAUUGCAGCAAAGGGAAUAAAAUACCUAAGUAUACAGCUAACAAGGGAAGUGAAGAACCUCUUCAAGGAGAACUACAAACCACUGCUCGAGGAAAUCAGAGGAGACACAAACAAAUGGAAAAACAAACAUUCCAUGCUCGUGGAUAGAAAGAAUCAAUAUGGUGAAAAUAGCCAUACUGCCCAAAGUAAUUUUGAGAUUCAAUGGUAUUCCCAUUAAACUACCAUUGAUAUUCUUCACAGAAUUAGAAAAUACUAUUUUAAAAUUCAUAUGGAAACAAAAAACAACUUGUAUAGCCACAACAAUCCAAAGCAAAAAGAACAAAGCUGCAGGCAUCAUGCUAUAUAUAAAUUAGGUAUUGAUGGGACAUAUCUCAAAAUAAUAAGAGCUAUUUAUGACAAGCCUAUGCCAAUAUCAUACUGAAUGGGCAAAAACUGGAAGCAUUCCCUUUGGAAACUGGCACAAGACAGGGAUGCCCUCUGUCACCACUCCUAUUCAACGUAGUGUUUGUUAGAAGUUCUGGCCAGGGCAAUCAGGCAGGAGAAAGAAAUAAAGGAUAUUCAAUUAGGUAAAGAGGAAAUCAAACUGUCCCUGUUUGCAGAUGACAUGAUUGAUUGUAUAUUUAGAAAACCCCAUCAUCUCAGCCCAAAAUCUCCUUAAGCUGAUAAGCAACUUCAGCAAAGUCUCAGGAUACAAAAUCAAUGUGCAACAAUCACAAGCAUUCUUAUACACCAAUAACAGACAAACAGAGAGCCAAAUCGUGAGUGAACUCCCAUUCACAAUUGCUUCAAAGAGAAUAAAAUACCUAGGAACCCAACUUACAAGGGAUGUGAAGGACCUCUUCAAGGAGAACUACAAGCCACUGCUCAACGAAAUAAAAGAGGACACAAACAAAUGGAAGAACAUUCCAUGCUCAUGGAUAGGAAGAAUCAAUAUCAUGAAAAUGGCCAUACUGCCCAAGGUAAUUUAUAGAUUCAGUGCCAUCCCCAUCAAGCUACCAAUGACUUUCUUCACAGAAUUGGAAAAAACUACUUUAAAGUUCAUAUGGAAUCAAAAAAGAGCCUGCAUUUCCAAGACAAUCCUAAGCCAAAAGAACAAAGCUGGAGGCAUCAUGCUACCUGACUUCAAACUAUACCACAAGGCUACAGUAACCAAAACAGCAUGGUACUGGUACCAAAACAGAGAUAUAGACCAAUGGAACAGAAAGGAGCCCUCAGAAAUAAUACCACAUAUCUACAACCAUCUGAUCUUUGACAAACCUGACAAAAACAAGAAAUGGGGAAAGGAUUUCCUAUUUAAUAAAUGGUGCUGGGAAAACUGGCUAGCCAUAUGUGGAAAGCUGAAACUGGAUCCCUUCCUUACACCUUAUACAAAAAUUAAUUCAAGAUGGAUUAAAGACUUACAUGUUAGACCUAAAACCAUAAAAACCCUACAAGAAAACCUAGGCAAUACCAUUCAGGACAUAGGCAUGGGCAAGGACUUCAUGUCUAAAACACCAAAAGCAAUGGCAACAAAAGCCAAAAUUGACAAAUGGGAUCUAAUUAAACUAAGGAGCUUCUGCACAGCAAAACAAACUACCAUCAGAGUGAACAGGCAACCUACAGAAUGGGAGAAAACUUUUGCAAUCUACUCAUCUGACAAAGGGCUAAUAUCCAGAAUCUACAAAGAAGUCAAACAAAUUUACAAGGAAAAAACAAACAAUCCCAUUAACAAGCAGGCGAAGGAUAUGAGCAGACACUUUUCUCAAAAGAAGACAUUUAUGCAGCCAACAGACACAUGAAAAAAUGCUCAUCAUCACUGGCCAUCGGAGAAAUGCAAAUCAAAACCACAAUGAGAUACCAUCUCACACCAGUUAGUUAGAAUGGUGAUCAUUAGAAAGUCAGGAAACAACAGGUGCUGGAGAGGUUGUGGAGAAAUAGGAAAGCUUUUACACCGUUGGUGGGACUGUAAACUAGUUCAACCAUUGUGGAAGUCAGUGUGAUGAUUCCUCAGGGAUCUAGAACUAGAAAUACCAUUUGACCCAGCCAUCCCGUUACUGGGUAUAUACCCCAAUGAUUAUAAAUCAUGCUGCUAUAAAGGCACGUGCACACAUAUGUUUAUUGAAGCACUAUUCAUAAUAGCGAAGACUUGGAACCAACCCAAAUGUCCAUCAAUGAUAGACUGGAUUAAGAAAAUGUGGCACAUGUACACCAUGGAAUACUAUGCAGCCAUAAAAAAGGAUGAGUUCACGUGCUUUGUAGGGACAUGGAUGAAGCUGGAAACCAUCAUUUUCAGCAAACUAUCACAAGAACAAAACAAACACUGCAUGUUCUCACUCAUAGGUGGGAAUUGAACAAUGAGAACACUUGGACACAGGAAGGGGAACAUCACACACUGGAGCCUGUUGUGGAGUGGGGGAAGGGGUGAGGGAAAGCAUUAGGAGAUAUACCUAAUGUAAGUGACGAGUUAAUGGGUGCAGCACACCAACAUGGCACAUGUAUACAUGUGUAACAAACCUGCACAUUGUGCACAUGUAUACAUGUGUAACAAACCUGCACGUUGUGCACAUGUACCCUAGAACUUAAAGCAUAAUAAAUAAAAAUAAAAUAAAAUAAAACUAUACUAAAAGGGUAUAGUAACCAAAACAGCAUGGUACUGGUACAAAAACAGAAAUAUAGACCAAUGGAACACAAUAGAGAACUCAGAAAUAAGACUGCACAUCUACAACCAUCUGAUCUUUGACAAACCUGACAAAAACAAGCAAUGGGGAAAGGAUUCUCUAUUUAAUAAAUGGUGCUGGGAGAACUGGUUAACCAUAUGCAGAAAAUUAAAACUGGACCCCUCCCUUAAGCCUUAUACAAAAAUCAAGAUGGAGUAAAGACUUAAAUGUAAAACGCUAAACUAUAAAACCCUAGAAAAAAACCUAGGCAAUACCAUUCAGGAUAUAGGCACAUGAAAAAUUUCAUGACAAAAAUUUCAAAAGCAAUUGCAACAAAAACAAAAACUAACAAAUGGGAUCCAAUUAAACUAAAGAGCUUCUUCACAGCAAAAGAAACUGUCACUGGAGUGAUCAGACAACCUAGAAAAUGGGAGACAAUUUUUACAAUCAUCUAUCCAUCUGACAAAAGUCUAAUAUCCAGAAUUUAAAAGGAACUUAAACACAUUUACAAGUUAGAAACAAACAACCCCAUUAAAAAGUGGGCAAAGAAUAGAAAGAGACACGUCUCAAAAGAAGACUGUUAUGCAGCCAACAAACAUAUGAAGAAAAAACUCAACAUCACUGAUUAUUAGAUAAAUGAAAAUCAAAACCACAAUGAAAUACCAUCUUAUGCCUGUCAGAAUGGCGAGUAUUAAAAAGUCAAGAAACAACAGAUGCUGGCAAGGCUGCAGAGACGUAGAAAUGCUUUUACACUGUUGGUGGGAAUGUAAAUUAGUUCAACCAUCAUGGAAGACGUGUGGUGAUUCCUCAAAGACUUAGAACCAGAAAUACCACUUGACCCAGCAAUUCCAUUACUGGAUAUGUACCCAAAGGCAUAUAAAUCAUUCUAUUAUAAAGAUACAUCCACGUGCAUGCUCACUGCAGCACUAUUCACAAUAGCAAAGACAUGGAAUCAGCCCAAAUGUCCAUCAAUGAUAGACUUGAUAAAGAAAAUCUGGUAGAUAUACACCAUGAAAUACUAUGCCAUGAUCAGGUCAGCUUCAUCCCCGGGAUGCAAGGCUGGGAUUGCGUAUAAAGGAAUGAGAUCAUGUCCUUUGUAGGGAAAUGAAUGCAUCUGGAAGCCAUUAUCCUCAGCAAACUAAUGCUGGAACAGAAAACCAAAUGCUGCAUGUUCUCACUCAUAAGUGGGAGCUGAAUGAGAACACAUGGACACAAGGAGGAGAACAACACACACUGAGGCCUAUCAAGGGGAUCAGGGGGCAGGAGAACAUCGGGGAAAAUAGCUAAUGAAUGUUGGGCUUAAUAUCUAGGUGAUGGGGUGGUAAGUGCAGCAAACCACCAUGGCACACAUUUACCUAUGUAACAAAGCUGCACAUCCUGCACAUAUACCCGGAAAUUAAAAUUAAAAACAGAAAUACAGAAAUUAGAAAGUGAUUAUUAUAGGUAUACCUGGUGUUAUUGUGCUUCCCCCCCACCUUUAUUGCACUUCACAGAUAUAGCAUAUUACAAAUUAAAGGUUUGUAGCAACUCGGUGUCCAGCAAGUCUACAGGCACCAUUUUUCCAAAAGCAAGUGCUCACUUUGUGUCUUGAUGUCACAUUUUGCUAAUUCUCAGAGUAUUUCAAACUUUUUCUUUAUUCUUGUGUCUGUGAUGGUGAUCUUUGAUCAGUGAUCUUUGAUGUUACUAUUGAUAUUUUUCCUGACACACCACAAACCACACCUACACAGGAUGACAAAAUUAAUCACUAAAUAUUGUGCGUGUUCUGACUAUUCCAACUGCCAGCCAUUUCCCCAUCUUUGUCCCUCUCCAUGGUCCUCCCUAUUCCCUGAGACACAACAAUAUUGAAAUUAGGCCAAUUAAUAACCCUACAAUGACCUCUAAGUUUUCAAGUGAAAGGAAGAGUCACACAUCUUUCACUUUAAAUCAAAAGCCAGGAAUGAUUAAGCUCAGUGAGGAAAGCAUGUCAAAAGCUGAGAGAGCAAGUUGUAAAUGAAAGGAAAAUUUAUUGAAUUAAUUUAAAAGUGCUACUCCAGUGAAAACACACAUAAGAAAGUGAAACAGCCUUAUUGUGGAUAUUGAGAAAGUUUUAGUGAUCUAGAUAGAAGAUCAAACCAGCCACAAUAUUCCCUUAAGCCAAAAUCUAAUUCAGAGCAAGUUUCAAACUCUCUUCAAUAUUUUGGAGGCUGAAAGAGGUGAGAAGCUGCAGAAGAAAAUUUGAAGCUAGAAGAUGUUGGUUCGCGAGGCUUAAGGAAAGAAGCUAUCUCUAUAACUUAAAAAGUGCAAGGUGGGCUGGGCGCGGUGGCUCACGCCUGUAAUCCCAGCACUUUGGGAGGCCGAGGUGGGUGGAUCAUGAGGUCAGGAGAUCGAGACCAUCCUGGCUAACAAGGUGAAACCCCGUCUCUACUAAAAAUACAAAAAAUUAGCCGGGCGCGGUGGCGGGCGCCUGUAGUCCCAGCUACUCGGGAGGCUGAGGCAGGAGAAUGGCGUGAACCCGGGAAGCGGAGCUUGCAGUGAGCCGAG
rnacentral:lncRNA from 1 species